AAUGGACAACGUGUUAAAAAUCAAUAUUAGCGAAUCUUUUCUUUUAUGGGCGUUUGGUGUGGGCGUGGUCGGAUCGGUCUAAAAUUAAGAUAUAUAUAUAUACACGUCGAUAAUAUUUUGUGUACAAAAUUUGAAGUCUCUAGCUUUAUUACUUUUUUACGUCAAAAAAUGGGAUCGCUGGCCCACUGUGCAUAAGCAGAAUGGAUAUGGCAUAUAUACCCCUUCCCUCGGAAUCAAAUUGAAAUGCACUUCUAAAGAAAUCGGCUAUUCUGACACGGCAGUAAAAUUAAAUACAUAAAUUAAGAUAAAAAAACAAACCUAUUCUACCUUCAAAUAUGACUAAAAGUAAAUUAGUUUCCUUACAGGGAAACCAACGUCAAUCGCAGUAUUGAUCAUAUUGAUUCAACAAGAAGCAGAUUAUUCACGGAUCUGCUGGAGUUGCUUUUGAAUUUCAAGAUUCAUAUAUCGAUGGGCAGAAACAGCAACCAACGUCUUAUAUCAAUCGAACGAGUUGCAGCUCCGAUUCCCCGAUCUGUUGGGGCUGGUUUGUCCCUUCGCUUGGAGCGCCCACAUCCUGGAGUGAACCACUUUUUACUACUCCACUUUUCCUGAAUAUUUUCUUAUAUUUUUAUUUGCAAAAACUUGCGAAUUGAUUGUCAAAUCGGAAAAGUGCGUGCUCUGGUUUUCGCAAAUCGUAAGAUUAUUACGAUUCAAAACCGGUCGCUCAAAAAGCUUUUGUAAAACAUAUCGUAAAACAAUUGUAGCAAUGUAGCAGCGUCAGCGGCAUCUGUAAAUUGCAGCUCCAAGAACAGCGUUCAACAUUCAGAAUGACAACUACUUCUAUCUGCAGCACAAACACUGGAGAAACACUGCAACCAACGGCAGCAAAAUGGAAUGACAUUUUAAUCGACAGCCAGCGACCGCUUCCAGCAUCUCCAUCUCCAUCUCCAGCCAGCCCCGUCAUGCAGCCAUCCUGCUCCAUCCAUAAUAUGGUGCUCCCCUUCAUAUUUCGGUUUCAGUUGGCAGACCCUCUACGAAACCAGGGACAGGAUAGGAUCCAGCCCCAAGAGCAGCAUCAGCAGCACUAGCAGCAGCAUUCGUGUCGUCAUCAUCAUCAUCAUCGACUUGUGCAGCAUCAGUGCCUCGUCAAAACGUCAAUCGGUGUAAUCAAGCGUUAAGUGAUUCUGCGGAAGCGCAGCGAGGCCUUUACUUUGUCGUGGCAUUCCAGGAGGAAAGCGGGACAGGACGGACCUGGGCCCGAGCCCGAGCCCGAGCCCGAGUCCACUGCACAACUUGUGACGCGGAGCUAACCUCCAAUGGACGGGUCGGGCCGGGUCUUGGCCCGAGGCAAAACUGUCAGAUGGAGACACACUGUACAGCUACCGCGCCCCCAAAAUGUUUGCACAGCAGAAACAGAAAACAUUCAAAUCGAUGAAAAAAUUGAAUAUUUACAUAUGUAGAGUCCCAAAUAGAUACUCAAUUUAGAAUUGCAAAAGACUGCCACACAGAAUUGAGAAUAUAAAAUUUCCAGUAAAAAUUACCAACAUGUCCUUCAAAUGUAACGUCAAGUGCGGAAGCAGUGUAAAAACUCUGAAAAACUCGGCUGCACUCCAAAAUUGAGCUAUAAAUUCGAGAUGGAAAUUAAGUAAUACGCUGGAAAAGGUGGAGGUUAAAUGCUUGUUAAUUUUGUAAGCCCCCGCGACGCUCACAAUGGCCUCUAUGACAUUUCAAUUAAACGAUCAUAAUGAGAAGAGACCAAGCUGCAGAGCCUGGCCCUGGGCCCGGCGCUGGUGCUGGUGCUGGGGCUGGACAUGGGACCAAAGCAGAGCAGGUCCCAACAGCAGCAGCAGCAGGCGGUCAAUGAUUAAUGGGCCAAAUGCUGAAAUCUGCGCCCAGACUGCGAAAGUGUUGACUGCUGCCGUUGUCCAUCUUGGCCAGGGUCCGUCCCCAUACUCAUCGCGGGCAUAAUUUGCCUACACAUGGGACUUUCAGGAGGGGACUUGGGAAGAGCCAGUUGCAUUAUCUCCAUUCAACGAUCAGCAUCCUUCUGGUAUCAAGGUGCCGCUCCAACCGGUUCCAGCUCAUCCCCAUUCCCCACUCGCACUCCUCGCAGUUCUCCAGCUUGGUCCUCGUCCUCGUCCUCGCCUUUUGCAUUGACUGCUGAUUGCGCACGAAAAGGAAUCGAGGAAUACCUGAGCAAUGUUUUCGCGGCUUAUUACGCGCGAUCGCUCUCUCUCUCUCUCUCUGCCGCACUCACUUGUGUAGUCUAGUGUAGUGCAGCCACCUGUGCGCAAAAAACACAGGUAAAAAAUAAAUAAAACAACAAAAAAAAAGCGCAGAGAGGCAACAAAAUCAAACCGAAAAGCAAAGCUCGUUAUAUGCUGGGAGGGCAGCGAGUCAGGCAUUGAACCAGUUUCCAGAUGGAUGGAUGGAUGGCUGGCUGGCUGCAUGGGGGACAAGCCAAACACCGCCAAAGUGGAGCAGUCAAGCAGGCUUUGAAAUGCCGCAAAGCUGCACAAGUUGCCCGCCAACGGUUGUCGGUUGUCGGUUGUCGGGCUGUGUCCUCAGACAGUGAUGACCCUGUUGGUGGCUUCACUUUAACAGAACGAAGCCCUCAGAAGGUAUACUCCUCGUAUUGAAACCUUUUUAGAAAA